rnacentral:rRNA from 1 species
CCUACGGGGGGCAGCAGUGAGGAAUAUUGGUCAAUGGGCGGGAGCCUGAACCAGCCAAGCCGCGUGAGGGAAGAAGGUACAGCGUAUCGUAAACCUCUUUUGUCAGGGAACAAAGGCGGGGACUAGUCCCCGGAUGAGGGUACCUGAAGAAGAAGCCUCGGCUAACUACGUGCCAGCAGCCGCGGUAAUACGUAGGGGGCAAGCGUUAUCCGGAUUUACUGGGGGUAAAGGGGGCGCAGACGGCGAUGCAAGGCAGGGGUGAAAGCCCGGGGCCCAACCCCGGGAGAGCUCUUGGAACUGGCUGGCUGGAGUGCAAGAGAGGCAGGCGGAAUGCGUGGUGUAGCGGUGAAAUGCGUAGAUAUCGGGAGGAACGCCGAUGGCGAAGGCAGCCUGCUGGCCUGCAACUGACGUUGAGGCACGAAAGCGUGGGGAGCGAACAGGAUUAGAUACCCCAGUAGUC